rnacentral:rRNA from 1 species
GAUGAACGCUGGCGGCGUGCUUAACACAUGCAAGUCGAACGGUGAAGCAGAGCUUGCUCUGUGGAUCAGUGGCGAACGGGUGAGUAACACGUGAGCAACCUGCCCCUGACUCUGGGAUAAGCGCUGGAAACGGCGUCUAAUACUGGAUAUGAGCCGCGACCGCAUGGUCAGCAGUUGGAAAGAUUUUUCGGUCUGGGAUGGGCUCACGGCCUAUCAGCUUGUUGGUGAGGUAAUGGCUCACCAAGGCGUCGACGGGUAGCCGGCCUGAGAGGGUGACCGGCCACACUGGGACUGAGACACGGCCCAGACUCCUACGGGAGGCAGCAGUGGGGAAUAUUGCACAAUGGGCGAAAGCCUGAUGCAGCAACGCCGCGUGAGGGAUGACGGCCUUCGGGUUGUAAACCUCUUUUAGCAGGGAAGAAGCGAAAGUGACGGUACCUGCAGAAAAAGCGCCGGCUAACUACGUG